rnacentral:lncRNA from 1 species
UCACCACCAAAUGGCCCUUUCCAAUGUUUCUUGGUCUUCCAAGAUGGGCAGUCUUUCCCCUGCUGCCUAGCUGUUAGCUGAUAGUAGACAGGACUGGAUUCUGACUUGUUAUAAAACAGAUUCAGUGUGCCUGAGCUGAAAGUGCUUUGAUUUGAUCUAUUUAAGGUCAAACUCCCAGGCAUUUCAACUGUGCAUUAUGCUGUUUAAGAUCAUCAGUCUUCAGUAAGUAUUGUUGGAACACACAAGAGGACCAUGCCUCAACCUCAAGCAGGUGGCACCAACAUUAUUUAUUUACUACUAGUUGCCUUGUACCUGGCAUUGCUUAGGACUGUAAGAAGUUAAAAAAGAAAGUGCAAUUUUGAACAGUUCAGUCCACCAUCUUGAUUCAAAAUAGCAUCUAAUUGUAUCCAAACAUAGACAAAAACUUGAUCUCAGGAACCAUCAUACAAAAUUUGGUUAUGAUAUUUUAAGUGUCCAAAUGAACAGCAAACAAAUAGAUUAUUAUUAUUUUAGCAAAUUAUAUUUGGGAUAUCAGAUUACAAUUUGGGAGGAAGAAUAGCUCUUGCAUUUCCCACCCCUGCGUAUUGAUAUAUACUAUAAAACUUGGUGCCAGUGGUGUCCUCUAGAUGUUGUUGGACUACAGCUUCUGUUUAUCGCUGACCAUUGGCCAUGCUGUCUGGGACUGAUGAGAGUUGGAGUCUAACAACAUCUGGAAGGCACUACAUGAUAGGCUAUCUUAAUAUAAAACAAGUGUUGUUGGCAUUCGUCAAAUGUUGGAGAAUACGCAUCAACCCCUUCUUUCUGCCCCCUAAUGUUUUUUAACCAGCAAAAGUAUGCACACCAAGGCAGUACUAGAACAGGAAAUUCUGCUCCUUCUGAAAAACUGCUUAUUAGUACAAAAUGCUUCCCUAGAUUUUGGACCAGAUUUAUCAUCCAGUGAUAAAAGCUUGUCUGAGAGGGCAUGAUGGGUCACACAUUUUAUCAGGUAGGAGUUAAAAUUAGUACUUCUCUUGCCGGAAAGGAGCUAGAACCUUGAAAGAAGAAUGGACUAUCUAUGCAGAUGCAAUCAAAGUGUGGACAGGUCUACAAAUAGGCUAAUUCUGUCCCUUAAAACCCAACAUUGAAAUAUUACUCCCUGCCCCUGUUUACCUCUGUGGAAUUUAGAUGAGAGCAUCAGGCUCUCCUGAAGGGAUAAUAAUUUGGAAAUGCAUGGUGUUUUCUUGACCAAUUUAUCUCUCUUCACUGGCAAGCAAGUUAUUUUGGCCUGUCUGUGAGAAGGCAUCAAAGCUGAUUGUAAACUGUGGAAGCAUGAAAGCUUCAGGCAGAUUAAUUUUUGAGCUGGAGCAAGCUACAGAAAAAUGUAACUAAAAGGGAGACCAACACAUACGAAUUCUCUGCUCCUGAGGAGCUGAGAUUGCAGUGUGAAUGCAGAGUGGGACCUUGGCAAGAAAGGCAGCACCGCAAGAGGUCAAAUUAAUUCUCAGUGAAAUCCUGUUGGCUUUAAUGGAAUAAAAUCCCUGUUCAUUAAUCUGAUGAAGUUGGCUGUCACUCAUGCUGCAAGAUAUCCUUUCACCUCUAAAGUAAUCCUGAAUAUUUUAAUAGAGAUUAUGAAGGCUUUGAAUCAGGAUACCUGAAAGCUCAGCAUCCAGGUCAUGUGAAGUGAUAAGGCAAAGAGUUACACUGAGCAUGUGCAGAUUGUCCCUGUUUCAUGGUAGCCGUAUCCAGACCCCCACAAGUCUCCUGCUUUAGGUUCCUCAUCAGGAUUUACCUCUUUCAUUAAACCUUUGGCCUAAUCUCAUAAUUCUCAUCCUGAUCCAAAAUUAUGUCUAAAAUUUAACUAAAUUUCUCACCUACUCUCUGUGUGAAACUUCAUUUAUCCUUUCUCCCCCCUUUUUUGUCUCCCUCACAAUACAAAUAUAGUUUGUGAGAAAGACCUAUAGUGCAAGGGUUUUUCCACUUCUCUUAUUCUGCAAUGUUAAUGGCGCUGUAUAUAUGAAGGCGGGAAAGAAAUUGAAUAAAUGCGCGCGCGCACACACACACGCGCGCACACACACACACUUUCUCUCUCUCUCUCUCUCUCUCUCUCUCUCCUAUGAAAAUACAAUAUAUUGGCUAAUGGUACUUAGUAUAAUUGUCCAUUCCAUUACGACCAAAUAUGUUACUUUUAGGUGCCAGGCAAAAAUGUUUCUUUUCAUACAGGCUUUUGGCCUUUAACUAGGAGUGUUUUAGAUUUUGUGGCCUCCACUAAUGGGUGGAAUGUGUUAAAUUGCCUUUUAUGCAUAUAAAUGCUUUUAGCUUUUCUGUUUAGUUUUAUCUUGGUUUUAUUUUUUAUUAUACCAAAUGUGUAAGAAAUAAUAAUAAUUACAAAAUAUAGCUCACUGGACAGAAUAUUAAUCAGCCCUGAAUACUAAAAUAUACACACAAGUACCUUCCACUUUGGAUUAUACUAUUCUAGUCUAUUGACCUGAUAUUCCUUCUUCAUCUAUCUGUAUUAGAACCAGACCCCAACAUUCUGUCAUAGGUUGACCUAAACACAGAUUCAAUAUGGGACCUGUGAAAGAGGAUAGGGAGUCAGACAGAAGCAUUCUUGAUUCACAAUGGACGGGAACUGAUCCCAUUGUUUUGUCCUUUAUAAGUUAAUUGCUUGUUAUCUUCUCCUAUGGAGAAAAAGCUGCGCAUGAGGUCAAUGAGGGUAGCAUUUCUCUCUGCUCUGACACUAGAUGACCCAACCCUCUCUGACAGGCUAUAUAUUGGACUACAACUCCUAUUCGUUCCAGCAGUGCUACCUGAGGAUCAUGGGAGUUUGUAGUCUGAAACAUCUGGAGAGUAUCAGAUUGGUGAAGGCUGCCAGGGGGUUUAAUUUUCCAUUUCCUCCAAACCUGAGUGGUGCCAAAGGAGGAAGUUUUGGGACAGGAGUUGGAGCAGCCAAGGAGCUGUCCAGCAGGAUCUGGAAGGCUGGACAGGGGACCUCCCCCUCACAGCUGUUGCACCAACAAUUUGCAAUCAGUAACUGAUGGUUUUACAGUAGACCCGGCUCUGCCUCUUCUGGCAUCUCUAUGGGGCUCUGAUCCAGAGCAUGCACUAGUACUUACCUCCUCUUCCCAAGCAGGACUGAGGACAGGGAGGCUUCAGUCUUCCAAACAGUUUGGAGUUUUAGCACAGGGAAACAUUUGGUCCCUCAUUAUUGCAGCCUCCUCAAGAGGGGAAUAAUUCAGUUCUUUCUUAGGAGUUGUUAACUUCCCAGAGUCCCCAUCUGUGCUGGGGCUCAAAGUAGGGUUCCUCUUCUUCUCUGUGGAGAAAGUAUGGUUUGGUUCAGGGUCUGCACAUAGGCAGGUACUGAUACAGAUUCAUUUUGGUAUUUAGACAGAGGACAUCCUCCACUCCCACUCUGGUCUUUGCAAUGCAAAAGCUUUCCCUCUGCAUACAUCCUGCCCAUCAUCAUGGUGGGUAUUUCACUAGCAAAGAGUUGCAAUCAUCUGGCAUUAGGAGGAAGGCAUUUCAGCUCAGAGAGUGUGGCUUGUUUCAGGCCCCAGCACUGAAGUACUGGAGAAUUUGUAGAUACAGAAUGAAUCAGGGCUUCCAUCUUCGUUGCCACAAUGUGUUAGUGGAUAAAGCAUUUUUAAAAAAUGAAUGAAAGCAUAAAUGAGAUUUGGUCUCAAGAAGGACAUCUGCUUAAAAUCAUCAUGCACUCACCCCACAUUAUGUAAGGUGGCAGAUUUGUUAGUUAUGCUGGUGGCUGUCCUUAAUAUGUGUGACAAUGGAGUUCUCUUUGAUGCUCAAAUGUCAGGCCAGUGUUUAAUGGCUUUGGCUGGAGUUAAGGAAAGCACAGGAGGGUGCCAUUCAAAAUCCCCAUGCAGUUCAGCCAGUUCAUCCAAAUGCUGACCUGCAAUGCCCUUUCUAUUUCAGGUUUGGGCCCCAUCCAUAUAGAUGCAGACAAUAUUCAACCUUCUCUCCAUCAGACAAUAGCCUAGACUGUUGUAUGUGUGCAGAUGGAUAAAUAGGGAUAUACUUAAGUGUUCACUGCUAUCCAGGUUGAAACCAGGUAGUUCCAUUACAUUUCAGUCCAAUUUUAGCUACAGUUCUUAAGCUGUGGAGUUCACACUAUAUGACCAGACCACUGUGACUCUCAGUGUUUGUUGCUGUUGUCAUAACUGCUCACAGAAAUUAACUUCCCAAUUAUCCUAUAACUCAGCAGUGAAAGAAUGUGAGCGGAAAACUAUUUUAACUUUCCUAUUGAGCAAAACAUAGAUGGUGAAAUGGUGGUAGAGGAAACUAAUCUAUUCCUCAUACAUUUUAGGCCAUGUGCACGCAAACAGGUCUCCCCCACUGGUUGCUGUGACAAGUAGGAUUCGGUGCUAUCUCAGCAAGUGAAGGAGGAGAGAGCAGAAAGCUGUUGUUGGAGGAAUCCAUUACCAGAUCCUGGUUUUGAUUGUUUUUGUGGGCUCUCAUGUACCCGAGUAACAUUGGGCCCACUCAUAGCAGCUGCCACCCACCCACUUUCUUAACUCCUCGGUAGUUAGGUAAUUUAGGACUCUGGACUUAACCAACUGACACCUGCCUAUUCUCCACAGUGGGGCAGAACCAGAUAGUGACAGUGAAGAGUGGAUGGAGCAGCAAAAGUUGCUGAAAUUGCCCAGGGAACAUAAGGACAUCAGAAGAGCCCUGUUGGAUCAGACCAGAAGCCCAUGCAGUCCAACAUCCUGUUAUGCUGCUGGCCAACCAGGUGCCGAUGGGAAGCCCAUCAGGAGAACAGGAGUGCAAGAGCUCUCACUCACUGUUGUUCUCCAACAACUGGUGUUCAGCGGCGGGCUGCUGCCUUAGUACUUAGCUACCAUGACCAAUAGCCAUUGAUAGCCUUAUCUUACAUGAACCUGUGAAUCCCAUCUCACAGGUAGGUAAGUAGGCUAGGGUAGCAAAACAGGAGCAGUAAGAUGGCCACUGCUGUCCAGCAGCACAUUCAAGAGGGCUGCCAUCAGUGGAGGGGGGUGCAGCUGCCCUGCUAUGCCAACCACUGACACUAGUCUGGGUCUGGGGGAUUGACUGGGAGGCUAAAUUAGAAAGCUGUAGGCCUGCGUUGCCGUCUGGCAGCCUAUAAACAUUGCCUGCAAUUGCAUAAAAAUUAGAAGAUGGUAAAGCUGCAUUUCUCUGAUAGAAUAAAACAGUUUAAAUAUAGCAACUACAGUUGGGUAUUUUUGUAGUCAUCUUGCUCUUUGAUAUCAUGGGAAUAUGUCAAGCUCUAUUUAAGAUGCUUAAAGCUUUGAACUACUUUUUUAUUUUAAGAAAUACAUUUUAGGUGAUUGGAAUAGUUAUACAAACCCAGUAAGGGAAAACUUCUCAUAUGUUGUUUUAAGUUUAUGUAAACGGAACAAUUAUUUGUGUGUCUGUGUGUAUUAUCUUUCUUGCCAGGCAAUAGUGGGUGUUCCUGUUAGCAUCAGGAGGUUGAAACUGGCAAGAGUCCUGAGAUUAUGGCUUCAAAAGGCAGCAGCUGAAUUUCAAUUACUUUUCAAACGGGGCUGUUCAUCCCUCUCUGCAUUUGUUCACAAUAUAAGUAAUGCCAGUGAAUCAGUUUCUAUGAGCUGUGGGAUGAAGAGUCAAAGUCUGAGUUGUUGGUAUGUUUUUUUCUUUAAUUCUCUCCCCCCCCCCCCUCCACAAACCUCCACAUUAAUAUUUUGUUUGUCAGGAACAUUCCUGUUUUGGAACCAGCUUUCAAAACUGUCCUAUUCAUUGCCUCUGCGUGAUUGAAUUUUGUAUGUACCUACCUGGAUCCUGAGAUCAUCAGUUGCCCUUUUCCCAGUACCUCCAUAAGCUAAUAUAUGAAAAGUGGCAAAGAGAAUUUGAGUAAUUUUGAGAGGUAGUUCCUGGUUAUGGAAUACUCUCCCCAGAAUGGCUUACCUGGCACCAAAUUUUCAGCACCAGGUAAAGUCCCUCACUCUGUCAAGGCCAGUUAAUUAUCUGCAUUUCACUGUUUUAGGCUGAUGGCUUUAGCUCUGUGUGGAUUUCUGCUAGCAGCUGGAUUAUAUAAUUUUUGUUAAAUUGUGUUAAUAUUUUCUCUGAUGUCAUUUGGCGUUUUUGUGUUUUUGUGCUGCUACUGGUUGAUCUUAUUAUUAUUUUAGUCUAUUUUAUGCUGUGCAUUUUCUAUACAACCUUGGGUAGUAGGUCACUAAUACAUGCAACACACAUACAUUAUUUAAAAAUUCAAAUUCUUUUUGGACAUGAAGUUUGUGGUUAAGUCACAAUGGGAUGAUUUUAUCUUUUCAAUUUUGUGUACUGAAUUGGAAGUCACAGCCUUCUCCAGUCCUGCACCACUAGCCCAGGUGCUUUUGGCUGCCUGAAAUGUGUCCUCAAACUGUGAUAUUGCCUCUUGCUUGUCUUGCUGAAAAGGUGUGUGCAUGUGUGUUUCUAAACCCCUGGCUUUUGCAAAGUCAAAGGGGGUCACAACGGUUGCUUUGCUCAUUCAGAGAAUCUUGCUCUCUCACUUUUUGCUGCAGUCCUGCCCACCACGGACAUGCAAUCCCCAGAAGGAAUGUGGUUCUCAGCCUGAAAAGAUUUCAGUGGAACCAUAGUAGCCCCAACUCAGUGGGAGUCAAUGACAACUAAAGGCAGCAGCGCCCCUUGAAAUGAAGAAGUGCCUCACUGAAAAGUGGUGCUAAUAGCGACAGUAGAACUGUUUAAGGCUCAGUCUGAGAACGACUGUUGCUGAAGCAACAUUUGAGCUCUGCUUUUCCAAAUUCUCCAGCCUGAGCCCUGCAUAGAGUUCUCCAGGGUGCUACCGAAACUUGCCUUGCCUCUGUACUGCUAAGGCUGCUCCUCAAAUCAGAAUAUUAUAUUGCAGAGA